AUUGAAUGGCCGCGGUAAACUGACCGUGCAAAGGUAGCAUAAUAAUUAGUCUUUUAAUUGAAGGCUUGAAUGAAUGAUUGAACGAGAAUUUAACUUUAUUUUAAUUAAUAUUUAAAUUUAAUUUUUAAGUAAAAAAGCUUAAAUAAGUAUGUGGGACGAGAAGACCCUAUAGAACUUAAAAAAUAAAUUGAUUAAUUAAUUUUGGAUUUAUAUUAUUAAAUAUAAUCAAUUUAUUUUUUAUGUUGGGGUGACAUUGAAAUAAUAUUAACUUUCAAUUAAUUUUCCAUUAAUUUAUGUUUUAUUGAUCCUGCUUUAAGAUUAAAAGAAUAAGUUACCUUAGGGAUAACAGCGUAAUUAAAUUGAAGAGUUCUAAUCGAUAAUUUAGUUUGCGACCUCGAUGUUGGAUUAAGAAAAGGUUUUGGAGCAAAUUUUAUAAAAGCUUGGUCUGUUCGACCAUUAAAUUCUUACA
rnacentral:rRNA from 1 species